rnacentral:sRNA from 1 species
GCCAGGCAUGGUGGUGCACGCCUGUCAUCCCAGCAGCUUGGGAGGCUGAGGCAGGAGGAUGGCACGUUCAAAACCAGCCUCAG